UUGGAGCCCUCCUUCCUGUCUUACUUCCUGUUGUCCUCAGACUGCAGGGGAACUUGGAUUAUCCAUACCAACUGACUGAUGGGACCCUGCUUGUGUGUUGUUGUCCUGAGAAGAUGUGUUCCGGAAGGAGAAACAGAGAAACAGAGCCCUGCCUGUCUGGUGGUGAAGGAUCAGGGAGCUGCGACCGAGCUAAUGAACACCAGGUUUACACUGAGACAACCGAGGACAUGGACUACCCCUCUAUCCCAGGAGGUAUGUAGGGUAGUGAACCAGUCAGUCUCUAUCCCAGGAGGUAUGUAGGGUAGUGAACCAGUCAGUCUCUAUCCCAGGAGGUAUGUAGGGUAGUGGACCAGUCAGUCUCUAUCCCAGGAGGUAUGUAGGGUAGUGAACCCGUCAGUCUCUAUCCCAGGAGGUAUGUAGGGUAGUGGACCAGUCAGUCUCUAUCCCAGGAGGUAUGUAGGGUAGUGGACCAGUCAGUCUCUAUCCCAGGAGGUAUGUAGGGUAGUGAACCAGUCAGUCUCUAUCCCAGGAGGUAUGUAGGGUAGUGGACCAGUCAGUCUCUAUCCCAGGAGGUAUGUAGGGUAGUGGACCAGUCAGUCUCUAUCCCAGGAGGUAUGUAGGGUAGUGAACCAGUCAGUCUCUAUCCCAGGAGGUAUGUAGGGUAGUGGACCAGUCAGUCUCUAUCCCAGGAGGUAUGUAGGGUAGUGGACCAGUCAGUCUCUAUCCCAGGAGGUAUGUAGGGUAGUGAACCAGUCAGUCUCUAUCCCAGGAGGUAUGUAGGGUAGUGAACCAGUCAGUCUCUAUCCCAGGAGGUAUGUAGGGUAGUGAACCAGUCAGUCUCUAUCCCAGGAGGUAUGUAGGGUAGUGAACCAGUCAGUCUCUAUCCCAGGAGGUAUGUAGGGUAGUGGACCAGUCAGUCUCUAUCCCAGGAGGUAUGUAAGGUAGUGAACCCAGGAGGUAUGUAGG